GGGCGUAAGCGCGCGCAGGCGGUUCCUUAAGUCUGAUGUGUAAGCCCACGGCUCAACUUCGGAUCGUCCUUGAAACUGGGGGACUUUGAUGGCAAAAAAGAGAGCGGAAUUCCACGUGUAGCGGUGAAAUGCGUAGAUUUGUGGAGGAACACCAGUGGCGAAGGCGAGUCUUCUUGGGCUGUAACUGACGCUGAGGCGCGAAAGCGUGGGGAGCAAACAGGAUUAGAUACCCUGGUAG
rnacentral:rRNA from 1 species